UACAGAGGUCUCAAGCGUUGUUCGGAUUCAUUGGGCGUAAAGGGUGCGUAGGUGGCGGGGGUAAGUCAGGUGUGAAAUCUCGGAGCUCAACUCCGAAACUGCACUUGAUACUGCCUUGCUCGAGUACUGGAGAGGAGAUUGGAAUUUACGGUGUAGCAGUGAAAUGCGUAGAUAUCGUAAGGAAGACCAGUGGCGAAGGCGAAAUCUCUGGACAGUUUACUGACACUGAGGCACGAAGGCCAGGGGAGCAAACGGG
rnacentral:rRNA from 1 species